GUCCAUCUGGAAGAAAAAAUAACUGAGAAGUAGGUUAAAAUUUUUUGAGUAGUAAGAGUGAUGAGGGGAGAACUUCUCUCUCAAGUAUUAAAAUGUUUAUCUAAAUGAAGUUAAAGUGUAUUAUUGAUAGGAGAAGCAAGCAAUACCUCAAGGAAACAGACAAUUUUUUCUAACACAGACCAUCUUAUAAGAUUUUAGUAUGUCAGUAAGGAACUAUCUCCCAGCAAUGGAGAAAAGAUAGAGGAAGAUGGGCACGGAUGUUAGCUCAGGGCCAGUCUUCUUCAGCAAAAAGAAGAGGAUUGGCAGCAGAUGUUAGCUCAGGGCUAAUCUUCCUCAAAAAAAAAAAAAAUGAAAUCAUGCUAAAUUUAACCCCCUCACCAUAACCCAAAAUGAAUUUUGGAGUGAAUAAAUGUUAGUUUGUUGCAUGGCCUUGUUUCUCUUUAAGACCAUAAAUAGUUUCAGGAUAAUCGCUCACCCAACUUCUAAUGUCCAGUGGGUCCUACCACCCCAACAUGAAACGUUUAUAUUUUCUCCACAAUUUAUAAGAAUUCGGAGAUGUAUGUACCAAAAACAAAACCUGAACUAUUAGGCUACUUUGAGUGACUUUACUUCCCAGUCCAAUAAAUUUAAUUAAAGUAGCACGUAACAUAAUCCGUCAUAACUAGGAAGGACCUUAUUCCCAGAACUGAGUUUCCCAGAUAAUUGAAACUUAUCAUUUGGAGCAGCUACCUGGUUCCUUGCUCCCACAACCCUCAUCUCUGUAUGUCAGAAGCAACUCAAUUUAACCAGAAAGCUCAGCCUCACCCCAAACUCCAGAAAGAAUUUAGUCCUUAUCCAAGGAAAUUUAAGGUAUGUUCCUUCAAUACUGCUGAGUCAGCGUCAAGAGAUUUUGCUGCAAAUGUGGUACAGGCCUUGUUUCCUGAUCCCAAAAUAAAGAUUCUGUCUUAUUUACCAGAUAUGCUAGUUCUAGUUCUGCCUAAGAUCCUACUUUUAUUUGAUUUUCUUAAAUCAUGUUCACUUGAUGUUCUCAUUACAAAAGUAGAGAAUGCAUAUUAUAGAAUUUUUUUUAAUUACAGAAAAAUCUUUAAAAAAUUUUAUAUCAACCAAAUUUCCAGUACAUAAGGAUAACUAUUAUUAACAAUUUGGAGCAGUACCUUCUAGUCCUUUUUUUCUGAUCAUGGUCACCAAAAGAAAUGCAUCAAGAUUUCACAAAAGUACCUAAUAAGAUAAUUGGGGACUUUAUGGUGUUGGUUUGAAGUGUGUCCAUUUUGCUUUCAAAGCCUGGGCUUGAAUUAUAUGUAAUUUAGAACAAAUACAUAAUACGAAUUCAUUCAAAAAUCCCCUAAAGUCAGUUGAAAGGAAAGGCCUGCGCUGCUAAGUUUUCCAUUAUUAUGGGUUCUUUUCUAAGGAGUUUAUUGGAUCACUAUUUUUUUAAAUGUGUUUACUACCUUAAUCUCAAUUUUUAAAAAAUUUCCUUAAAUUUUUUGCGUACUGAAUACAAUUUAACUCUACUAAACGGGAAUUUAUUACUUGAUUUUUAAAAGAAACUCCACAUAAGUGAGCAAAGUUGACAUUAUUGUGACAUGGGAUAGUUUGUACUGCACUCUCAUGGUUUUCAUAACAUAACAAGGUAGGUGGUCACACACCAAGAAGAAUGUCAUUGUGUCAACUUCUAAAGGAAAAGACAUCAUGAUUUAAGAGAUGUUCAUGCAAAUUUAAUUCCAAUAAAGAAUUCUUCAUAAAACAAACAAUACACGGGACGAGUGAUUGAUUCUAACAUUUUUUUCCUACUUGUUUUCACCUUAAAUUACAAAGUGAAGAUUUGGGGGUGAUAUUAACUCUUAGAGGUAUUGUGAAAAAGUAAUUAGUGUAUCCAAUGAAUUUCAAAUUUUAAAUGAUAAUUUGAAAUGGCUCAUAGUAAGUACACAAUAAAUAUUGGCAUUUAUCAUCAUUUCUUUAUCAUAUGAAUAUUUUACAGUAUUUAUCAUAUGGAUUUUACAGUAAU
rnacentral:lncRNA from 1 species